CGGAUUAACUACUCGUUUCAAUCCGAUGGGAUGGAUGAUGCACUGGCUUCGUCUUGAUAAGGAAACCAUCCGCGAUUCCGAAAAGCAAUUCUUUUCCGCGUAGCCAGCUGCUUGAGACAUGGUUAGGCCGUGCGACGACAGACUGGCGCGUAGCAUUUAGGUUGAAGGCAGAAGCUACACAAGGCAAGAAAGCAAAGAGCGCGGGUUUUUUUCGCCUACGAGCAUUUCGAUGACCGCGCUUAUCAAGUACCCUGGCCCCCGGGAAGAACCAGUUCAUUCAGAGGCUGUUCUUUCCCAGGCGACGGUUCUCGAUGCUGGAAGGGCUGAGGGAGCAUCUAAGUUCUUCUGGCGUUACACAAGCACCACCAGUUCCCCCCCCCUCAAAGCCUGUGUUGUUUUUAUAAUAGUGAAACGUGAGUAAUGCAACGGUCUCAGUCCGAGGAAUCAUCUGUUGUCGGGGGCGGCCCGUUCCCCUCAAGUGAAAAUCGAAACGAAGGAAUUACAUGUGCGCAUGCAGGUUCGACCGGUAGUUUAGCAUUCACCCUUCGUAAGACAUUCGUAUUCAAUUGAUACGGCAAGCCAUUUGCAUUCAUGUUUCCAGCGAGAUACCUCAAUGGCGUUUCGCCGGACAGCAGGCUCAUUCAACCUGAUGUUGAAAAUUCUCCAGCAUUUAGUGAUGUCGUCAGUCAUCUGCACUUGCCACGAGGAACACUUGUGUCUGCAUGCAGGGGAGUCUGUGAUUGGUUUUCCGAUUAACGAUCCAAAGACGCUUCAGUGGCGCUGUCAAUAGCUGAGGUCCACUGCCGCUUUCUGCAGUUUUACAACCGAACCCCGUGGCUCAUUAUAACCGAACGUCCUUUCAGGUGGUAACUUUGCCAGUAUUUGCGUGCUUGCUUGGGGAAAAUGAGCUGUAGCAUGGAUUAUGUUCGUGUUUCAGAAGUGUGAACCGGCUAGGUCGCUCCCGCAGGCGCCAGCGAACUGAGUUUUGUUCUUUCUUCUCACAUCCAGGUUUCUAUGCCAUGAUACCUUGCGUAUUUCGAACAAUGCGGUCCCCCGACGUAUAGGCGACGCUAUGUACCUCGGACUUCUCUAGCAUCGACCGUGUAUGAGUUGUGACGCGCACGAACUGGGGCGCGAC
rnacentral:lncRNA from 1 species